UACGAAGGGGGCUAGCGUUGUUCGGAAUUACUGGGCGUAAAGAGCGCGUAGGCGGCGCGGUACGACCGCUGUGAAAGCCCCCAGCUCAACUGGGGAGGGUCAGCGGUAACGGCCGUGCUUUGAGUGCAGGAGAGGGAAGUGGAACUCCGGGAGUAGCGGUGAAAUGCGUAGAGACCCGGAGGAACACCAGUGGCGAAGGCGGCUUCCUGGUCUGCGACUGACGCUGUGGCGCGAAAGCUAGGGGAGCAAACGGG
rnacentral:rRNA from 1 species